UUUGGCUAAGAUUGCGGAGCCGAGAAGAGAAAGGGCGCAGGAGGGAGGGAUUUAAAACAAAACUAAAAGGAGGGGGGAAGCAGAGGGAAACGUGAGAUGAGGGCGGAUGAGGGCAGGAAGCUGACAUUUCCUGAACGCCUCCUCCAGCCAAAGUCGGUGCGUGAUGGGCCCAUUUUACAGGCCGGCGCUGGGAGAAGGCCUCCAGCCAUUAAGGGGCAGAGGUGGGAUUCGAACCUAGACCUAUCUGCUGCUCGCGGGCUCUUUCAUCUUGACUGAGGAGCGCGAACCCGAGGGAGUGGGGCGUGGGGCUGGGAGGCGAGGCGAAAGGGAGAGGGCUCGGUGGGGGGUCAUGACUGCCUGGUGGGGACCCUGGGGACAGGGGCAGCCGCAGGUUGACGAUCUGGGUUCCUUCACCGACCACGCACGAAGGGUGGGGGGAGGUCUGCUUCAGUCUUUCCCGCGCCCCUCCAGCGCCCCCACGUGGAAACUUCUGACCACCUCGUUUCCCCUCCCAGAGCGCCGGCGUGGCGAGAUCCAGGCUGGGCUGGAGCUGGGUCCUGGACUUGGAAAGGCCUGUCCCUGGAUAGAGGAACAGGAGAUAAAGCAGGGGCAGGGCUGCCACGGGCAGGGGGCCUGGGUGUCCUCGGGCACGUAGUGCGGCCCUUCUAGUGGCGGGGAGGGUGGUGGGUAAAGGUAGCCAGGAGUGCUUGACUGGGACUUUGCACCCUGCGCUUGGCCCUCUCCCGCUGUGAUGGUUUAAGACUUCGGAAAAAACAACUCUUGCCCCAAGUCUUUGAGGUUCCUUUCAUGCAUUCAUUCACUGAUUCUGGAUUUACUGAACACCUUUAAAUGAGAGUUGCAUGCGAACCCAGUUGAAAGAAACAGAGGGCUGGGCACAGUGGCUCACUGUCUGUAAUCCCAGCUGUGGUGGGAGGAUCACUUGAACCUGGGAGGUGGAGGUUGCAGUGAACAGAAAUUGUGCCACUGCACUCUAGCCUGGGUGACAGAGUGAGACCCCAUUUCGAAAGAAAGAGAGAGAAAGAGAGAGAGAGGAAGGAAGGGAGGGAGGGAGGGAGAAAGAAAAAAGAAACAGGCAUCACAAUUUUAACACGGGGAUGAGGUGGGGCACACGGGGAAGAAAGGAGAGGGUGACGGGAAGAAGGCAGAGAAAACUCCAAAGGUCUGGAAGGCUGGGAGGGAGGCAGGGCACGGGCUGGAAACCGCAGCUAUUUCCGCAGUGUGGAAAGUGCCAUGGCAGGGCACUUGGGGGAAAAGGAGGAACCCAGGACUCCCUUUACCUCAUUGAUAAUGCGGGUGUGCUCAGACACUUGUCCUAGAGAGAACACUUAGGGUUUGGAAAAGCGGAUCUCUAGGUCCACAGUGUAGAUGGAACAAACAGAGCCCUUGCCCUCUGUGCCCAGAGGUUGUGUGGGCAGAUGCCUUUGCCCAUAUUCGUGGCAGGCGGUUUGGCCCAAGCCUGCUUUGGUCUUGGCAUUUCUAGCCCCUCAGUUAUGCCCCGUGUGUCUCUGAAAGGGCCUGAAGGUAUUGCCCAGUUUCAGAAAGAAAUUCUCACCACUAGCGGAUCAGAGUUCUGUUUUGUUGUUGUUGUUUUGAGUCUUGCUCUGUUGCCCAAACUGGAGUGCAGUGGUGCGAUCUUGGCUCACUGCAACCUCUGCCUCCCAGGUUCAAGCAAUUCUCCUGCCUUGGCUUCCUGAGUAGCUGGGAAAACAGGCGUGAGCCACCAAGCCCGCCAAUUUUUUUGUGUUUUUAAUAGAGACAGGUUUCACCAUGUCGGCCAGGCUGGUCUGGAACUCCUGACCCCAAGUGAUCUGCCCGCCUUGGCCUCCCAAAGUGCUGGGAUUACAGGCGUGAACCACCGUGCCCGGCCUAUUUCUUAGACAAGGUUGAGCAUACAAGGACCUUAAAGGUAGAUUUCAGAAGCAGAGGGAGCCAGGCUGAGGGAGGCUGGUGAAGCCCCUCUGUUGGGGCAUGUGGGGUCUUCUCCUGACCCUGGCCUCAAAUGUGGCCCUGAAGAAGUCUCCCUCCAGAGUGCGUAUUCCUCCCGGAAGCCUGUGUGCUAUCAAGUCACCAGCGUCUGACCCCAUUAGUGAGAGAAGAGAAGCUUAUGAUUAACAUCAACCUUUUCUUCCUGGAUCUUGGUUAGCAAGUGCGAGAGAAAAGUGAACAGCUAAUUGCAAAUGUAAUUAUAAUGCACUGUCCUCUGUCUACCACGUGGAGCCUCCAGACCCCAGUGUCUGCAGAACGGUUUGUUUCUCUUAUCAGGGAGGACUCUGGAGCCAGCCACAUGGAGACAGCACCCACGGGUUGGGGACUUGGCUGGCGGGGACUUGGUAUGAGGGGCGCACGGAGCUGCCCUUUUGGGAUUGACCCUCCAUCCUGCUCUCUCUGGCUGGACCAGAACCCCUGAGCUGAUGGAGCUGGGGGCAGCAGCUGUGGGGGAUGAGAGGCUGCCCAGUGUGUCUGUGGUCUGGGAGAGCAGGGGUUAGUCUUGGGGUGGGGAGGGAAGAACCCCAGUCCCUUUCUGGCCUCAUGUGUGAGCACUCAAUCAGGGAGCAGAGAUGGCUAGAGAAGGCAAGUAAAUGAUUCUCUAAGUCCUUAGGGUUGACUUCCCAGGAAGCGUCCAGGUCUGGAGUUGGGACCCUAGGCUCUGCGGUCUUGGCUGGGCUGGCUCCCCAUUCCUGCAGUUCUGCCCCUGCAGAUGGAAACAGCUGGAAAGUUUUAGGGCACAGUUGCCCUGUGCCUCGCACUAGAUGUGGGGCCUUUAAAGAACUUCCCUUUAGGGGCUGUACGAUCUUCAUGUCUUGGUACUUUCCCUCCACUUGUCUGCAGACUCCUCUUCUCCCUCCACUAUUUCCUUGUUUUGCCUUCAGCUCUGAGUGACACUAGGCAUGACCUUUCUUCUCUUUGAGACUCAUCUGUAAAAUGGAAAGUUUGUUGAAUAGGAAGAUCUGAGAUUCUAAGUGAGGUGGAUUGGAGAUAUCAUUUGGAGUAAGUAUGUAUCUCGGACGGGCAGAGAGGGAGAGAGGGAGGGGGCAGAGGAGAGGAAUAGUCUGAGUGCCACCUUUAUGGUUAAGUAAACCAUCAUAGACAGGGAUGCCCUAUACAGUUGUGCAGGUUGAGCACUGCCCAAAGGUGCCUGGCUGAGGCAGAUCAUGGAGGCUGAAAUUCAGCCCUGCUCAUUUCACCAAACCAACCGCUUGGGCCUCACCUGCACCAUUCAAGGAAGGGCUGCCUUUUCCCGUUUCACACAGAUGUGCCUUAUGGGCUAGCACAGGCCCUGAUAAAGCCAGACUGGGGGGACAGAUGAUGAAAUAUUAGAGCAGAAAUCCAAAGGGGAUGAUGGAACUUAUCUUGUCCCCAAAUAGGCAUGUGACUGGAGACAAAGCACAAUAGUACCAUUGCUUUAAGCAUGGCAACCAUAUUUAUUUGAGUGUCAAAUCAGGACAUAGUGUACAUUGUAUGAGCACACAUACAGGGCUCACAAAAAGGGGUUUUUGACUUUAGGAGUUUUCUGGUCAACCUGAGCAUGAGUCUGGAGGAGUUAUAGCAGAGUUUUGUACAGAGCAUGGAUGCAUCGAGGGGAAAUUUUGCUGGGAGAGUCAGGAAAAGUUCUCAGAGGAGAUAUUGAAUGGUGGAUGCCAGUUUGCCGAGUGAUGAUAGCGAAGGGUGUCUAGGCAGCGGGAACAGCACAAAAAGGUACUGAGGCUUGAAAGAAGACAGUUCUCACUGGGUUUAAGUUCAAUGAGAGCCUGUACAGGCUGUCUGGGAAAUGGGGAGCCUCGAAUGCAAUGCUGGGGAGCUUGGAUUUUAUCCAGGCGGAUAAAAUCCCUAGGGAUUUUUAUUUCUCUUAAGGGCUCUUAAACUCUCCUCUCCUCAAAGAGGUGAUGAGGAGGAGGGAAUGGAGAUGGGGAGGGGCUGGAGGCAGGGAAGCCUUUUAGGAGGAAGUCAUUGUAAUAGUCCAGGGAAGAAAUGGGUCGGCCUCGAAGGCAGACCUGGGGCUUGGGAGAAGAGGGCUGGGGCCAGUGACAUUGCAGAAGGCAUCAGGCACCAGUAGAUCUGAGACCUGGAGGGAAGGAGGAUUGGGAGGAGGAAGAGGAAGGAGAGCAGGCUCGGGGUGGGGGCGGGUGGGCUGUGAGUGUCCAUUUGGACAAUUUCAUGGGAGAUGCUGGAGAUGCUGGAGCUCCAGGGGCAAAGCCAUGGAGCUUUAAGGAACUCAGUGUUUGGGGCUGGUGAAGCUAGAGGAGACCAGGAAAACCCUGCAAAAUCAACAAUAACAGGCUGACAUGGAGACCUAGGUAGGCUAUGGCAAGGGGGUGGGAUGGGAGAGACCGAGAAGGAGAAUUAGAAGGGCAGGUGCAUCAGGAGAGAGAAGAGGUGUGGACACCAGGGAGAGUGACACUUACAAAGGUACAGACGCAUAUGUACAGACAUGUACAUGUUCACACCUGAUAAGGGCAGGAAGCAUACACUUCUGAGAUGAGCUGAAGUAACAUCAUCCAUUUGAUAUGCUGUAUUAUUUGAAUAUUUUACAGUGAAAAUAUGUGCAUGUAUUACUUGCAGCAUUAAAAAGCAAUUGAAGGCCCAGUGUGGUGGCUCAUACCUGUAAUCCCAGCACUUUGGGAGGCCAAGGCAGAAGGAUUGCCUGAGUCCAGGAGUUUAAGACCAGCCUGGGCACAAAUCAAGACCCUAUCUCUACGAAAAAUGAAAAAUAAAAAAUAAAAAAUAAAAAAUUAGCUAGGUGUGGUGAUGUGUGCCUGUAAUUCCAGCCACUCAGAGGCUAAGGUGGGAGGAUUGUUUGAGCCCAGGAGGUCAAGGCUGCAGUGAGCAGUGGUUGUGCCACUGUACUUCAGUCUGGGUGACAAAGCAAGACCUUGUCUCCAAACAAACAAACGAAAACAACAAACCACAAUUGAAAACAGAUAAAAAGUAAUCAAAAUGUCCAUUAACCUGAGAAUGGAUUAAGCACUUAUGGUAGUGGACUAUUACACAGCAGUGAAAAUAGAUGAGUUAGAGUGCAUGUAUCAACAUAUAAACUCAUAAAAUGUUGACCGGGUGCAGUGGCUCAUGCCUGUAAUCCCAGCACUGUGGGAGGCUGAGGCGGGCGGAUCACGAGAUCAGGAGAUCGAGACCAUCCUGGCUAACACGG
rnacentral:lncRNA from 10 species